UAUGGUACUGCCAGAUUCUUUGGGUUGGACAUUGGAUGUUAGAUGCUGCACUGACACUUGGAGAAGAGCAGGAACAGGUGUUCUCUAAAAUGUCAAGAUAUGGCAGCGUGACGAAACAUAUGGGAGGAGCAAGGACCAUAUAACCGCUGCUGUUUUUUCUGGAAUGCGCAAAAGGAAAACGGAAUGGUUCAUCAACUUGUUAAAAGAAGGAAAAGAAUUUCUAGUAAGCAGCUUAAAAGUGAUUUUGAAACAUACCAUUUAAACGCUGAGGUACUUCCCAGGCUUCUUGAGGAACUGAGGAAGACAGCAGA